AUGAUCUGGGGAAGAAGACAAAUCGGCGGGGGCCGUGCCCCAAUCUAUGACGUUGGUUGGGCUAGGGUCACCGACGAGAGCCGACGACCUAGCCCUGUGGAUGAGAACAACCAGCACAUAUUUAUCGUUCAUCCUGGUGCAUGUGCACCCGGAAGCAGAAACUAUUAUAUGUCCGACAUGAUGAGGUCCUCAUACACAGGGGCGGAGCUCUCAUGUAGCCGCCGUGGACAGGAGCACCGUCCACUGGAGCGCGCCGCCCGCUGUCUCGCGUACGCGGAGCAACCGCUGGAGACGCCCGCGACCCGUUGGAUCUUGGCUCGCCCUCGCCGCCUCGCCCCUGCCCUGUUCCCUCGCGCCGUCGCGCGGUCGCGCCGCCCACUCGCCCAGGCGCUCACUGUCGCGACUCGCGAAGCUACCGCCGCGGCGAUGGCCGCCGGGAUCUUGCGGCUGUUCUCCUCCUGUCCUCCAACCCCCUGCUGCCCAGUCCCUGGCGCUGCCCCUGCCGCACCACACUUCACACACAGCACCAACCAGCAGGGCAACACGGGCAGGAAAAGAGAUGAUAUAACUGAUGUUGAGGAUGACCAUGUAUUGCCCUUGCUUGAAUUCGAACAGCAACAACCUGAACAACAACAUAACCAAGAUGGAGGAGUUCGAACAAAUGAAGCUGUUGCAUUCCGAGAGUACUCGCAGGAGAAAAGUUGUGUGUAUUGUCUAUAUUGCUUUGUCUCCAACAACAAAGAGAAUACACGAGGUGGUUCUCAUGUCUUCACGGUACAUGGAUUUGACAGUUGCAAGAGGGUUUGUGGGAAACAUUGUGCAUUCUUGACCCACAUAGGAUCUGGACCAUGCUCAUCACACAACAAUGCAGUCACUAGUGGUCAUGCCUUAAUGAAACAAUCUUGCCAUAUAGAGAAUGUUAUAGCUGUGAAGGACAAGGAGAAGGUGGACUCAUGGUUGAACUUACGAACAGAGACAAGUGGCGUGGAGAGAGCAGUAGCAGCAGCAGCAGCGAAGGAGAUGAGGAAGGGAUCAUGA
rnacentral:rRNA from 1 species